rfam:Rattus norvegicus chromosome 20, whole genome shotgun sequence.
GAGGAUUUAGCUCAGUGGUAGAGCGCUUGCCUAGCAAGCACAAGGCCCUGGGUUCGGUCCCCAGCUCC